UGUACAUGAAUUUAUAAAAAAAAAUAAAAGAAAUGCAAAUACAGCUGGUACUUGGGCAGGACAAAAAUUGUGACAGUGAUGAACACAUGACUAAGGUUGAGGAAACCCUGCGCUAGAGAGUGUUCCUGAGGUUACUUGACUGUACAAUGAGACAUGAAGGAGUGUUAAAUCCUGGAGGUAGGAUUUCCCACCUGUCUCUCCUCUCUGUGAUUCUUCCCGAGCCUUCCUAGAGAAACACAGUGGUCAUGCCACUGAUUUGUGUUGAGGUCCUAAAGGUUAGCCACUACCCUGGGCCUCUUUGUACAGGAAGCAAGAGAUGGGUCCUUAAUGCAGCCUGGCCUUUGCCUCUUUGCUGUAGCACGGGGACUUUAAUUUCUUAUGACCCCUGUGCAAGAGUCUCUUCUCACAGCUGAGAGGAUUCAAGGUCCCAGUUGAUGUUUGGUUAUUUUUGUUUUUUCCUGUUAUGGAAAGGAACCACUGAAUUGCCUUUAUGAAAAGUAGUUUGUCAUUUAGCCAUAGGGAAAUAACAAACAAAAGAGGUCUCUGGGCUCAUUAGGUUUACUGCCUGCCAGCAAAGGACGCUCCUACUCCCAAAUAACCAAAGAAUUAUUUUUGGUUCUUAGUCUACUUUAGUUUUCUGGGUCCCAAGUACUUUCCUCUAACCACUGCUAUGCUACAGAGUGACAGAGUCACUUGCAGAAAACUCAUCCUUGACAGUCUAGACAGUCUUUCUCAUAGAUAGAUCUUGUAACCCCAAGGUGAAGUGUGCCUUUUUGUUUUUAGCACAGACAAUUCGCGAGUGCCUACUCUGUGCCAAGCCCUAGAGCUGGGCUGGGAAAUGUGAAGCCAAGGAAGAUCCAGUUCCUAAAUGGCUGGGCCUCUCCAAAGAGGUCUUGACGGCAUGUGAAAACCCUAAGAGGAAGCACGUGGAAGAGGAAGAUGGCGCAGGACAGCACGAGGGAAGGCUGGGCUCAGAAGCAGGAAGAAGGAAGAAAGUCACUAAGGCGAAAAAAUAUGGUCAUCAAGAAGUUGGGGUUUGGAGUUUCGGGAGGCUGUAAAGCAUCAGCAUGAUGUGGGAGAGAGGAAGAGAAGAGAAAAGAGGAUGAGAGCAAGUUCUGAAGUACAGUCGGUCUGCUGUUCUGAAAUAAAGAGGAGGGAAUUCUGCCAACAGACAGCGUUUGGACUUGAACAGCAACAUCAGCUCUUCUCUGGUCUACAGCCUGCUGUCUCAUCCUGCAGAUUUUGGACUUUCCAGCCUCCAUAAUUGUGUACCCAGAGGGCAAGGUCUGUGCCCACUUUGAUUGCUGGUACUAUCCAUAAUAUAUAGCCAGUGGCCUAUGCAUGCUUAACAAAUACCAUCAGCCAUGAUGUCAAAGGAGACCAAGAGAACAAUGAAGGAAGAAAACAGAUUUUUUUAAUGAGGAUUGGGAAUUGCAAUAUUAUCUUGU